AUUGAACGCUGGCGGCAGGCCUAACACAUGCAAGUCGAACGGUAACAGGAAGCAGCUUGCUGCUUCGCUGACGAGUGGCGGACGGGUGAGUAAUGUCUGGGAAGCUGCCUGAUGGAGGGGGAUAACUACUGGAAACGGUAGCUAAUACCGCAUAAUGUCGCAAGACCAAAGAGGGGGACCUUCGGGCCUCUUGCCAUCGGAUGUGCCCAGAUGGGAUUAGCUUGUUGGUGGGGUAACGGCUCACCAAGGCGACGAUCCCUAGCUGGUCUGAGAGGAUGACCAGCCACACUGGAACUGAGACACGGUCCAGACUCCUACGGGAGGCAGCAGUGGGUAAUAUUGCACAAUGGGCGCAAGCCUGAUGCAGCCAUGCCGCGUGUAUGAAGAAGGCCUUCGGGUUGUAAAGUACUUUCAGCGGGGAGGAAGGGAGUAAAGUUAAUACCUUUGCUCAUUGACGUUACCCGCAGAAGAAGCACCGGCUAACUCCGUG
rnacentral:rRNA from 1 species